AAAUUGAAGAGUUUAAUCAUGGCUCAGAUUGAACGCUGGCGGCAGGCCUAACACAUGCAAGUCGAACGGUAACAGGAAGCAGCUUGCUGCUUCGCUGACGAGUGGCGGACGGGUGAGUAAUGUCUGGGAAACUGCCUGAUGGAGGGGGAUAACUACUGGAAACGGUGGCUAAUACCGCAUAACGUCGCAAGACCAAAGAGGGGGACCUUCGGGCCUCUUGCCAUCAGAUGUGCCCAGAUGGGAUUAGCUAGUUGGUGAGGUAACGGCUCACCAAGGCGACGAUCCCUAGCUGGUCUGAGAGGAUGACCAGCCACACUGGAACUGAGACACGGUCCAGACUCCUACGGGAGGCAGCAGUGGGGAAUAUUGCACAAUGGGCGCAAGCCUGAUGCAGCCAUGCCGCGUGUAUGAAGAAGGCCUUCGGGUUGUAAAGUACUUUCAGCGGGGAGGAAGGUGUUGUGGUUAAUAACCGCAGCAAUUGACGUUACCCGCAGAAGAAGCACCGGCUAACUCCGUGCCAGCAGCCGCGGUAAUACGGAGGGUGCAAGCGUUAAUCGGAAUUACUGGGCGUAAAGCGCACGCAGGCGGUCUGUCAAGUCGGAUGUGAAAUCCCCGGGCUCAACCUGGGAACUGCAUUCGAAACUGGCAGGCUUGAGUCUUGUAGAGGGGGGUAGAAUUCCAGGUGUAGCGGUGAAAUGCGUAGAGAUCUGGAGGAAUACCGGUGGCGAAGGCGGCCCCCUGGACAAAGACUGACGCUCAGGUGCGAAAGCGUGGGGAGCAAACAGGAUUAGAUACCCUGGUAGUCCACGCCGUAAACGAUGUCUACUUGGAGGUUGUGCCCUUGAGGCGUGGCUUCCGGAGCUAACGCGUUAAGUAGACCGCCUGGGGAGUACGGCCGCAAGGUUAAAACUCAAAUGAAUUGACGGGGGCCCGCACAAGCGGUGGAGCAUGUGGUUUAAUUCGAUGCAACGCGAAGAACCUUACCUGGUCUUGACAUCCACAGAACUUUCCAGAGAUGGAUUGGUGCCUUCGGGAACUGUGAGACAGGUGCUGCAUGGCUGUCGUCAGCUCGUGUUGUGAAAUGUUGGGUUAAGUCCCGCAACGAGCGCAACCCUUAUCCUUUGUUGCCAGCGAUUAGGUCGGGAACUCAAAGGAGACUGCCAGUGAUAAACUGGAGGAAGGUGGGGAUGACGUCAAGUCAUCAUGGCCCUUACGACCAGGGCUACACACGUGCUACAAUGGCGCAUACAAAGAGAAGCGACCUCGCGAGAGCAAGCGGACCUCAUAAAGUGCGUCGUAGUCCGGAUUGGAGUCUGCAACUCGACUCCAUGAAGUCGGAAUCGCUAGUAAUCGUGGAUCAGAAUGCCACGGUGAAUACGUUCCCGGGCCUUGUACACACCGCCCGUCACACCAUGGGAGUGGGUUGCAAAAGAAGUAGGUAGCUUAACCUUCGGGAGGGCGCUUACCACUUUGUGAUUCAUGACUGGGGUGAAGUCGUAACAAGGUAACCGUAGGGGAACCUGCGGUUGGAUCACCUCCUUACCUUAAAGAAGC
rnacentral:rRNA from 1 species